UGGGGAAUAUUGGACAAUGGGCGCAAGCCUGAUCCAGCCAUGCCGCGUGAGUGAUGAAGGCCCUAGGGUUGUAAAGCUCUUUCACCGGUGAAGAUAAUGACGGUAACCGGAGAAGAAGCCCCGGCUAACUUCGUGCCAGCAGCCGCGGUAAUACGAAGGGGGCUAGCGUUGUUCGGAUUUACUGGGCGUAAAGCGCACGUAGGCGGACUUUUAAGUCAGGGGUGAAAUCCCGGGGCUCAACCCCCGGAACUGCCUUUGAUACUGGAAGUCUUGAGUAUGGUAGAGGUGAGUGGAAAUCCGAGUGUAGAGGUGAAAUUCGGAGAUAUUCGGAGGAACACCAGUGGAGAAGGCGGCUCACUGGACCAUUACUGACGCUGAGGUGCGAAAGCGUGGGGAGCAAACAGG
rnacentral:rRNA from 1 species